rnacentral:snRNA from 1 species
CAGGUGUCCUAAGAUGAG